rnacentral:rRNA from 1 species
AACCUGGUUGAUCUUGCCAGUAGUCAUAUGCUUGUCUCAAAGAUUAAGCCAUGCAAGUGAAAGUAUAUGCAUAUUUUAUAUGUAGAAACUGCGAACGGCUCAUUAAAACAGUUAUAAUCUACUUGACAUUUUAUUAUAAGGAUAACUACGGAAAAGCUGUAGCUAAUACUUGCUUUAAGUGCUUUUUACUUCUUGGAGUAAUUAGCAUGUAUUUGUUAAGCCUUAUAAGAAAAAUUUUUAAUUAAAGGAAUUAUAACAAAGAAGUAACACAUAAUAUAUUUACUAUAUUUAGUGUGUAUCAAUCGAGUUUCUGACCUAUCAGCUUUUGAUGUUAGGGUAUUGGCCUAACAUGGCUAUGACGGGUAACGGGGAAUUAGAGUUCGAUUCCGGAGAGGGAGCCUGAGAAAUAGCUACCACAUCUAAGGAAGGCAGCAGG